rnacentral:rRNA from 1 species
AUUGAACGCUGGCGGCAGGCCUAACACAUGCAAGUCGAACGGUAACAGGAAGAAGCUUGCUUCUUUGCUGACGAGUGGCGGACGGGUGAGUAAUGUCUGGGAAACUGCCUGAUGGAGGGGGAUAACUACUGGAAACGGUAGCUAAUACCGCAUAACGUCGCAAGACCAAAGAGGGGGACCUUCGGGCCUCUUGCCAUCGGAUGUGCCCAGAUGGGAUUAGCUAGUAGGUGGGGUAACGGCUCACCUAGGCGACGAUCCCUAGCUGGUCUGAGAGGAUGACCAGCCACACUGGAACUGAGACACGGUCCAGACUCCUACGGGAGGCAGCAGUGGGGAAUAUUGCACAAUGGGCGCAAGCCUGAUGCAGCCAUGCCGCGUGUAUGAAGAAGGCCUUCGGGUUGUAAAGUACUUUCAGCGGGGAGGAAGGGAGUAAAGUUAAUACCUUUGCUCAUUGACGUUACCCGCAGAAGAAGCACCGGCUAACUCCGUGCCAGCAGCCGCGGUAAUACGGAGGGUGCAAGCGUUAAUCGGAAUUACUGGGCGUAAAGCGCACGCAGGCGGUUUGUUAAGUCAGAUGUGAAAUCCCCGGGCUCAACCUGGGAACUGCAUCUGAUACUGGCAAGCUUGAGUCUCGUAGAGGGGGGUAGAAUUCCAGGUGUAGCGGUGAAAUGCGUAGAGAUCUGGAGGAAUACCGGUGGCGAAGGCGGCCCCCUGGACGAAGACUGACGCUCAGGUGCGAAAGCGUGGGGAGCAAAACAGGAUUAGAUACCCUGGUAGUCCACGCCGUAAACGAUGUCGACUUGGAGGUUGUGCCCUUGAGGCGUGGCUUCCGGAGCUAACGCGUUAAGUCGACCGCCUGGGGAGUACGGCCGCAAGGUUAAAACUCAAAUGAAUUGACGGGGGCCCGCACAAGCGGUGGAGCAUGUGGUUUAAUUCGAUGCAACGCGAAGAACCUUACCUGGUCUUGACAUCCACGGAAGUUUUCAGAGAUGAGAAUGUGCCUUCGGGAACCGUGAGACAGGUGCUGCAUGGCUGUCGUCAGCUCGUGUUGUGAAAUGUUGGGUUAAGUCCCGCAACGAGCGCAACCCUUAUCCUUUGUUGCCAGCGGUCCGGCCGGGAACUCAAAGGAGACUGCCAGUGAUAAACUGGAGGAAGGUGGGGAUGACGUCAAGUCAUCAUGGCCCUUACGACCAGGGCUACACACGUGCUACAAUGGCGCAUACAAAGAGAAGCGACCUCGCGAGAGCAAGCGGACCUCAUAAAGUGCGUCGUAGUCCGGAUUGGAGUCUGCAACUCGACUCCAUGAAGUCGGAAUCGCUAGUAAUCGUGGAUCAGAAUGCCACGGUGAAUACGUUCCCGGGCCUUGUACACACCGCCCGUCACACCAUGGGAGUGGGUUGCAAAAGAAGUAGGUAGCUUAACCUUCGGGAGGGCGCUUACCACUUUGUGAUUCAUGACUGGGGUGAAGUCGU